UCCAAGUUGUCAUGCAUUUCUAGAAUCAGGUUUAUUGGACGAGAUUGCAACACAUGGGCAUUGGAUGAUAGGUUACUUUACUUAUGCAAGAAAAAUUGGGCCAUUUGCUGCUUGCUUAGACAGCCUAAUUAAAAUGUCGAUGAAUUACUUGACCCAUUUGUAGCUUAUGAGUCCAAGGUGAGAAACAGUAGCCCAAUUACAAUUUGUGAACCCACUUAACAAUUGAUUAACCCAAGUCAUUUCUUCCCCCCGAUCGUGUACCAAUCCAUUCGUUUCCCAUCAGUUUUAGGUUUAGGCUUCCAGGGUAUCCUACGAUUUCACGACGUUGAAAGAUAGAAAACGCCGAAGAUCGUUGACCAUAGCGAGAUUGUUGGCGACUUAGGGUUGCUGGAAGUCGCCACAUGUGUUCUUUGAUACCGGUUGUGGUGAUUUUGGUGGUUCCCUGCUGGAUUCUAUAGAAACAUCGGUGUUUGGGCUCAUCGGUGGCGCUACGUUGCUGGAUUGUCACUUUAAGGUGGUCGGCGACUGGAGUUGGGUGUUUCAUCAAAGCUUAGAUGAUAUCGAUGAUGGCGACACUGGAUCUUGUAGGCGACAUAGCAGGACAUUAUCUCUGGAAUUGCUGUCAUCUCGGAGGUGCUAAAUGUGGCCGACAUUGGUCAAGCUUCUCUCGUUGGCGGCAUUUGCUCGGAGGUUGAUGUCAACCAGUUGGAACUGGACGGAUAAGGCAGUUUGCCUAUUGAUUUGAUUUGGAGAGACCCAUUUGAGAAGGCAGAUGGCUUGGUGGAAGGGGUAGCAGCAGCCAAAGACCGGCGGUGAUGUUGAGGCUUUGGUUCCCGAUGGGGGAUUUCUUAUUAGGGUUGCCUCGUGAUAGUGACCGGCAAGGCUGAAGCUUUGAUUGCCGGCAGCGAAACGAGAAAAACAGGGGGCCGUAUUAUCUGCGGGCGCUGUUAGGAAUGCUUCAUCGGAGUCGGGGAUAGUUGACUAGCUGGAAAUGACCGUCGAUUUUCAGGGUUGCUGUCGGCGAUGGGUUGUUGCUCAGCGCGUGCUGGUCUACGUCCAACUUCCGAGGGAGAGCUAGACCAAGGGAACCGCUAAGCAAGUUUGGAAAUCAACUUUUGAGGAUUAACGUGCUGACGUUAAUUACUUCUUUUGAAAGAUGUUUAUGUAUUUAUCUUUUGAACAUGUAACGAAUACAAUUAUGUAAACAUUUUGGAAACCUUAAUAUGUAUGGUGGUGUGUACUUUCCUUUC